UACGUAGGUGACAAGCGUUGUCCGGAUUUACUGGGCGUAAAGAGCGCGCAGGCGGUCGUUCAAGUCGAGUGUGAAAGCCCCCGGCUCAACUGGGGAGGGUCAUUCGAUACUGAUCGACUCGAAGGCAGGAGAGGGAAGUGGAAUUCCCGGUGUAGUGGUGAAAUGCGUAGAUAUCGGGAGGAACACCAGUGGCGAAGGCGGGUCUCUGGACAGUUCCGUGACGCUGAGGCACGAAGGUCAGGGAAGCAAACGGG
rnacentral:rRNA from 1 species